GCUAUUAAAUAGCCCUCCGGAAUCUUGCUAUUUAGGAGUAUUAAACGUAGAUUACUGACAAAAUCAAUUCUAUAACCCCUAGGCUAUUUUGGGAGACGAAUCUAACGAGGUAUACUAAUCUAUGAUUAGCAGAUGAUUACUGUAGCAUCACUGUAGCAAAUCAUGGAUUAAUAUACCUCGUUAGAUUCGUCUUACAAAAUAGCCUAGGGGUUAUAGAAUGGAUUUUGUCAGUAAUCUACGUUUAAUACUUCUAAAUAGAAAGAUUUCAGUGGGCUAUUUAAUAGCCUGAA
rnacentral:misc_RNA from 1 species